ensembl:lncRNA
GGACAAACAUCUAUUAGUACCCGACAGGGAACCCAAGGCAGAUCAAAGCAGCUGGUGACACCGCAUCCUCAGGCAGGAAACUCAGAUGAUGCUGGUGGCAGCUCACUCUUUCUCAUGCCAGCCACGCCUCCAGCCCACUUAGCGAGCCGUUGAGUUCGUUAGGCUUAUUUACGGGGGCUCGGGGGAGGCGUUACUGAUAGGAGUGUGGUUGCUGUUACGUCAGCUGUAACGUUGGACCGUCCCACCCCAUCAUGAGCGACAACCCUCAUAAGAUAUGUCACGUAUUCCACCUACAGCUGGUCCUUCCACCACCGGCAUCCUCUACCAUCCCUUUAAGAUCAGAGAGAAGAAUGGCUGGGAUCCCUCAUGAAGGUUCUAGCAGCCUGCCUCCCACCUCUCUUCCUGUUAGAUAGUGUAUUAGUGUUCUCUAAAGUAACACACAUACAUACACACAUGUAUAUGUACGUAUACACACAUGUUAUAUGUGUGUUUAUAUUAUAUAUACUUUAACGUAUAUGUUAUAUAUAACAAUAUAUACACUAUCAGUUUUGAUAUAUAUUUAUAUGUGUGUGAUGUAUGUAUGAUUGUGUGUGUGUGUAUUCAUUAGAGUGGCUUGUAGGCUGUGAUCCAGGCAUUACAACAAUGGCUGUCUCCCAGUGGAAAACCCAAGAGUCUGGUGGGUGUUCGAUCCAUAAGAGUGCAUAUCAGUCCCAGUCUGAUGCUGGAGUUCCAGAGGAUUCCUACGGAGCCGCUGGUCUUCUGUCUACAGUGGAAUCCUGAAGGUGUAGCCUGUCAGGCCAGCAAGGGACUGCCUCAGAAGCAGGAUAUAGGAACUUGUCAGUGAGAGCGAGAGAUCAGCAGCAGGAUACAUAAACUUGUCAAUGAGAGCGAGAGAGAAUAAGCAGGAGAAAAAGAGCAAAAGCACCCUUCUUCCGAGUCCUUUUAUGUGGGCUGCCACCAGGAGGCGUGGCCCCGAUGUAGAGUGGAUCUUCUCACUUCAAAUGAUCCAAUCAAGAAAAGUCCCUCACAGCUGGGCUCAGCUGCCCCGGUUUUAGUUACUUCCGGAUGUCAUCUGGUUGGCAGCCAGGAUCAGCCACCACAGGCGGUGGGUGACUUUGGAUCCUGUUAUUCACGAAGCUCUCAAAAGGUAA